rnacentral:rRNA from 1 species
GACGAACGCUGGCGGCGUGCUUAACACAUGCAAGUCGAACGGAAAGGCCUUUUCGGAGGUACUCGAGUGGCGAACGGGUGAGUAACACGUGGGUGAUCUGCCCUGCACUCUGGGAUAAGCCUGGGAAACUGGGUCUAAUACCGGAUAGGACCGCACUUUAGUGUGUGGUGGAAAGUUUUUUCGGUGUAGGAUGAGCCCGCGGCCUAUCAGCUUGUUGGUGGGGUAAUGGCCUACCAAGGCGGCGACGGGUAGCCGGACUGAGAGGUUGGUCGGCCACAUUGGGACUGAGAUACGGCCCAGACUCCUACGGGAGGCAGCAGGGGGGAAUAUUGCACAAUGGGCGCAAGCCUGAUGCAGCGACGCCGCGUGGGGGAUGACGGCCUUCGGGUUGUAAACUCCUUUCGCCAGGGACGAAGCGUUUUGUGACGGUACCUGGAGAAGAAGCACCGGCUAACUACGUG